GACGAACGCUGGCGGCGUGCUUAACACAUGCAAGUCGAACGGAAAGGCCCUGCUUUCGUGGGGUGCUCGAGGGGCGAACGGGUGAGUAACAUGUGAGUAACCUGCCCUUGACUUUGGGAUAACUUCAGGAAACUGGGGCUAAUACCGGAUAGGAGCUCCUGCUGCAUGGUGGGGGUUGGAAAGUUUCGGCGGUUGGGGAUCGACUCGCGGCUUAUCAGCUUGUUGGUGGGGUAGUGGCUUACCAAGGCUUUGACGGGUAGCCGGCCUGAGAGGGUGGCCGGCGACAUUGGGACUGAGAUACGGACCAGAGUCCUACGGGGGGCAGCAGGGGGGAAUAUUGGACAAUGGGCGGAAGCCUGAUGCAGAAACGCCGCGUGCGGGAUGACGGCCUUCGGGUUGUAAACCGCAUUAGCCUGUGACGAAGCGUGAGUGACGGUAAUGGGUAAAGAAGCACCGGCUAACUACGUG
rnacentral:rRNA from 1 species